CCUACGGGAGGCAGCAGUGGGGGAUAUUGCACAAUGGGCGGAACCCUGAUGCAGCGACGCCGCGUGGGUGAAGGAGCGUUUCGGCGCGUAAAGCCCUAUCGGCAGGGAAGAAGAUGACGGUACCUGUCCAAGUAGCCCCGGCUAACUACGUGCCAGCAGCCGCGGUAAUACGUAGGGGGCAAGCGUUAUCCGGAUGUAUUGGGUGUAAGGGGGGCGCAGGCGGCAAGGCAAGGCAGGAGUGAAAGCCCGGGGCCCAACCUCGGGACUGCUCUUGGAACUGCAUGGCUGGAGUACAGGAGGGGGAGGAGGAAUUCCAGGUGUAGCGGUGAAAUGCGUAGAGAUUAGGAGGAACACCGGUGGCGAAGGCGGCCUGCUGGGCUGUGACUGACGUUGAGGCACGAAGGCGUGGGGAGCAAACAGGAUUAGAUACCCGAGUAGUC
rnacentral:rRNA from 1 species